GACGAACGCUGGCGGCGUGCCUAAUACAUGCAAGUCGAGCGCAGGAAGCUGACGGAACUCUUCGGAGAGAAGGCAGUGGAAUGAGCGGCGGACGGGUGAGUAACACGUAAGGAACCUGCCUCAAGGAUUGGGAUAACUCCGAGAAAUCGGAGCUAAUACCGGAUAGUUCAACGGACCGCAUGGUCCGCUGAUGAAAGGCGCUUCGGCGUCACCUUGAGAUGGCCUUGCGGUGCAUUGGCUAGUUGGUGGGGUAACGGCCCACCAAGGCGACGAUGCAUAGCCGACCUGGGAGGGUGAUCGGCCACACGGGGACUGAGACACGGCCCGGACUCAUACGGGAGGCAGCAGUAGGGAAUCUUCCACAAUGGACGAAAGUCUGAUGGAGCAACGCCGCGUGAGUGAUGAAGGUUUUCGGAUCGUAAAACUCUGUUGUAAGGGAAGAACACGUACGAGAGGGAAUGCUCGUACCUUGACGGUACCUUACGAGAAAGCCACGGCUAACUACGUGCCAGCAGCCGCCGUAA
rnacentral:rRNA from 1 species